rnacentral:rRNA from 1 species
UACGUAGGGUGCAAGCGUUGUCCGGAAUUAUUGGGCGUAAAGAGCUCGUAGGCGGUCUGUCGCGUCUGCUGUGAAAACUCAGGGCUUAACCCUGAGCUUGCAGUGGGUACGGGCAGACUAGAGUGCGGUAGGGGAGACUGGAAUUCCUGGUGUAGCGGUGAAAUGCGCAGAUAUCAGGAGGAACACCGGUGGCGAAGGCGGGUCUCUGGGCUGUAACUGACGCUGAGGAGCGAAAGCAUGGGGAGCGAACAGG